GAGGGUAUAGCUCAGUGGUAGAGUGUGCACUUAGUUAGCAUGCUUGAGGUCCUGGGUUCAAUCCCUGGUGCCUCCA
rfam:Camelus ferus unplaced genomic scaffold scaffold60782, whole genome shotgun sequence.